rnacentral:snoRNA from 1 species
AACCAAAACUUCUAGUCAGGAUGUUUUCCAUUCCACAAGGGAUACAUGAAUCAACGAAAGUGUCUGUUAAAGUUUUGGGAGAUUAAUACUGCUCGCGUUCUUCUUUAGCAUCCGUUUUGGAUGCACCUUGAGGAACAAGGUGGGUAAUUUUCGUUUUGAAGAUAUGCCACCGACUUAUAGAGCAGAGAGGCACCUAUGAGUUGAGUUCAGGACUACGGUUUUUGACUGCGGAUACUUCCUGGACUCGUAGUAAGGAGCCUCACAACU